rnacentral:misc_RNA from 1 species
AAGUCGUAACAAGGUCUCCGUAGGUGAACCUGCGGAGGGAUCAUUAACACGAUGAGAGAUGGCUUUAAAACCCGUCUCCCAUUCUCCACCCAACGUGAACUCGGUUGUUUUAGGACUUUCAUUAGUCCAUACUUCAACCAUUCCUCCCUUUGUGUGUUGUGGAACUGUUGGAAUCCGAUGUGUAGUGGGCCAAUUGCUGGCCAUCUGUUCCAACUGGUCGAGCUUUAUUGACUCGACGGUUCCCAACGACUUAGGCUAUUUCAUUUCAGCCACUGCAGAAAUAAACAAACCCAACCCUAUUCACACCUUUGUAUUAUACAUGGACUGAUCCAAGAGUGAUACAAUGUCACCAUUGUAACUCUCUCUAAGAUACGAUAAACUAAGCACAACUCUUAGCAACGGAUAUCUUGGUUCUC